rnacentral:rRNA from 2 species
ACGGUGGAUCACUCGGCUCGUGGAUCGAUGAAGAACGCAGCAAACUGCGCGU